CAUGCAAGUCGAGCGCGAAAACACUUCGGUGUGAGUAGAGCGGCGGACGGGUGAGUAAUGCUUGGGAAUCUGCCCAAUAGUGGGGGAUAACGUGUGGAAACGCACGCUAAUACCGCAUACGUCCUACGGGAGGAAGCAGGGGAUCUUCGGACCUUGCGCUAUUGGAUGAGCCCAAGUCAGAUUAGCUAGUUGGUGGGGUAAUGGCUCACCAAGGCGACGAUCUGUAGCUGGUCUGAGAGGAUGAUCAGCCACACUGGGACUGAGACACGGCCCAGACUCCUACGGGAGGCAGCAGUGGGGAAUAUUGCACAAUGGGCGAAAGCCUGAUGCAGCCAUGCCGCGUGUGUGAAGAAGGCUCUAGGGUUGUAAAGCACUUUCAGUGGGGAGGAAAAGCUCAAAAUUAAUACUUUUGAGCCUUGACGUUACCUGCAGAAGAAGCACCGGCAAACUCCGUGCCAGCAGCCGCGGUAAUACGGAGGGUGCGAGCGUUAAUCGGAAUUACUGGGCGUAAAGCGCGCGUAGGUGGUUUGAUAAGCUAGCUGUGAAAGCCCUGGGCUCAACCUGGGAACUGCAGUUAGAACUGUCUGGCUAGAGUAUAGUAGAGGGUGGCGGAAUUUCCUGUGUAGCGGUGAAAUGCGUAGAUAUAGGAA
rnacentral:rRNA from 1 species